rnacentral:lncRNA from 1 species
UUUAGUGAAUACAAGAAAUGUUGAAUAGUCUGCUGCAAGGAGACAUUGGCCAUUGUAAUGAAUGGAUGAUAAUGUGAGUCGCUGGCAAACCUACAGCCCCUACUGCGAUAGGCAGUCAAGUGUUUUUAACCUGCACAUUUUUUUUUAUUUCCCCUAUUUUAUGUUCAUAAAUAUCAUGACUCACGACUUUUAAUGUUGGAAGGAGUUGAGAGUCCCCACUCAACUGCAUGCCUUCUGAAUAAUAAUUAUAGACUCCAUUUUACAUGCUACCAUUUUACCUGUGAGAAUUUUUUUGAGAAUUUUUUGAAAAUUUUGAGAUUUGAAAGGUGUUGCUUUCAACUAUAUAGAGCCCAGUUAUAUGUCAUUGGCUCCGGGAAUAAAUAGGUGUACUGUUUGUCUGUGUUGAAUGGCUGGAGGUGUUGCAGGUAUCUUGGGAUAUCUAAUAAAGUUGUGAUAUUAUUUCAGUGCUGUUUCUAUAAAGGCCCCGCUCGCUAUGGCUAUAUGCCUUAGCCUAAAUAAUUUCAGUUAUAUUUCAAUUAAAACAUUUUAAGUACUGUUUCCAUAAAGGACAGCUUGCUAUUGGCUAUAUACCUUAGCCUAAAUAAUUUCAACAUUAAAUUUAGCAUUUAACUAUAUUGCUUAAGCUUUUGAAAUAGACAUCGCAGUUUAUUGAUAUUUCAAAUUUAUUAAGAUUCACUGCUGUACUAUGAUGAAAGGCUUGAUAAGAUAAAACUGUGCAGUAGUUUUACACUUGUAACUAUAUAUAGUGUUACUAAACUGCAUGCUAAAAGUUUCUGUUGACUGUUAGAAUGGUGGCUUGUAAGUGGGGGUAUCUUGCUAGGGUUUGCACAUUUAAAUAUUUACAAGUGCAUUAGGUCUCUUAGGUUUUAAGACCAACAUGAGCGAGUGAGAUAAACUCGACUAGCUUAGGAUAAGGCAUCAAGCGUGAAAUCCACGCACUAGACCCCUCAGGAUCGGAUCCCAAACCUUUUUUCAAUGCCAAAUGUGAAAUUACCCCCACCUUACCACAUCGUUGAAGAAUUAUGGUGGAUAUCUUGGGCAAAUGUGCAAUACUAUGAGGGAUAUCUUGGGCAAAUGUGCCAUACUAUGAGGGAUAUCUUGGGCAAAUGUGCAAUACUAUGAGGGAUAUCUUGGGCAAAUGUGCAAUAUGAUGAGGGAUAUCUUGGCAAAUAUCUUGGAUAAAUUUAUCUUAAAUUGCUAAAGAACAAUGUUGUAAGGUUUGUGGAUAUUUAUAUUACCGAUAAAAUGGGGGUUCCUUGCGCAUAGGAACGAAGUAAGGGUGGCUGAUGCAAUGUAACAAUCUAACAAUAUAGACUUUGAUGGCUUGAACCAUGGAUAAUAAAAUAAAUGGAUAAGAAACUAGCUGACG